CGAACGGGUGAGUAACACGUGGGCAACCUGCCCAAAAGAGGGGGAUAACACUUGGAAACAGGUGCUAAUACCGCAUAACCAUAGUUACCGCAUGGUAGCUAUGUAAAAGGUGGCUAUGCUACCGCUUUUGGAUGGGCCCGCGGCGCAUUAGCUAGUUGGUGGGGUAAAGGCUUACCAAGGCAAUGAUGCGUAGCCGAACUGAGAGGUUGAUCGGCCACAUUGGGACUAAGACACGGCCCAAACUCCUACGGGAGGCAGCAG
rnacentral:rRNA from 1 species